rnacentral:rRNA from 1 species
GGACUACCGGGGUAUCUAAUCCCGUUCGCUCCCCUGGCUGUCGCACCCGAGCGUCAGGGACGCACCAGGACACUGCCUUCGCCUUCGGUGUUCCUCCGGAUCUCUACGCAUUUCACCACUCCACCCGGAAUUCCGUGUCCCUCUCGCGCCCUCAAGUCAAGCCGUCUGUGCACCCCUCGGGUAGUUGAGCCACCCGCUGUCAGCGCACACGCGCCUGACCGCCUGCAUGCCCUUUACGCCCAGUAACUCCGGACAACGCUCGCCCCCUACGUAUUACCGCGGCUGCUGGCAC